rnacentral:sRNA from 1 species
AGCCAUGAAGCAUCUAACAAAACCCCAGUUCCAGAUCUGGGAAGCUAUUCUAGUAGGAUAGGUUGGGGUAGUUUGAAAUUCCUCAAACAAUGCACAGUGUUAUUGUUCCCCUUAGCUGUGUCCCACAACUUGAAGAUCAGACCCCUUUGCUGAAGAUGUGACAAACUUUAAACACAGGACGUGGAGGAGCAGAGCUAGACCGACUUACACCCCAGGACUAGCUUGCACAGUCUCUAAAGGUAGUGUUCAAGUUGCCAAUGGAGAAAAGUAACCAACAGUCCUACCCCGUAGAAAAGCCUAUGAACCAAGCAAUGAGCAGCUCAGAACAUGUCUCCCAGGGUGCAGUAGUAUCGCUUAUGUCUCAGGGUAACCAACAGCCAUCUAAUUGGACUUUAAGCCUACUCAAAUAGGAGGGAAAUCAUGCUUAAUACUGGAAUGCCAGCAAACUAUCAAUGGUGGUGAGGUCAUAGACCUAGGAGGAGAAUUGUCACUCUCCUAAACCAGAUAAUUCCCAACUGCGUUCUAAAUACCUAUCUUUAUAUUCACAGAUGAAUGGAGCUCUAAUUCCUUAUCAAAGAGGCUUCUUUUUACAGCAAUUGGUGAGCAUUACAGAAAGCUACAGCUGGCCAAAAUGCAGAGAACAGAUGACCAUGAGCUGCAUGACCCCAGUUGAUACGUCAAAAGUUGUAUCACUUUUGAUGAUACACUAUGAUUGGAGGACACCACAGAAAGGAGGCAGAAAGACUGCAAAACAACUUGUCUUCAAAGACACGGGUGUCCUGUGGGGGUUACAGCAGCUUAUAUAUCACAAGACAGUUAAAGCUGGGACCCAGAGAUGUUUUCGCGAAGGCGCCACCCUCAGAUCUGUUGGGAGAAGUUUGGAACACCUUACUUGACCUACUUGUUACUCCAUUGUGAGGACUCAGCAGACUGGUGCAGAUAAAGCUUAGGAGAAUGUGUGGCCCACGGUGAGACCUCCAUGGCUGUUAGUGACGGUGAAUCCACCAGAUACUAAAGAUCAUGGUAACAGGUAAGCCUCUUCAGUGUGGAGAGGAAGCACCUGAAUUUUCUGCACCUCCUUGCCCUCCAGGACUGACUCCAUCCUUUUGCACACAUCUCCUUAAAUAGGCAGAGGCUGUGGGUUGCUGUUGAGUCAUCUGAAGACAUGGGGACCUGUGUCAGGAAGGACUACUGGCAGGGGAAGCCAGAGGGACAUAGAUCACAUCUCACGAGCAAGAGCGAAUCAGCCCAGGGUCUAUAUAGAGAGCCAGGAUGGGGCUGGGAAUCCACACCGCUAAUUGGUCAUUUGGACAAAGAAAGCCUGCUAUGUGGAUGCCUGGGCUAAGCAUUAUAUAAAGUAGCCACUCAGCAAACUUUUCUCCAAUCCCUCAUCCCCUGCCACUCCCUCUCCUUACUCUGUCUUCUCCUUUUUCUGUUCCCUCCUGCUCUCUUCUGACCUCUCAGUCUCCCUCCCCUGUCCUUUUCCCCAUCAUGAAUUUGUACUCUCUCCCCUACCCACUUGUCUGGCCCCUCUUUGUCCUCCUUUCUGGCCUCCCUUUAUCAGGGCUGGUUGUUCUAUAGUUUCUGACCUUGCUAGCCCUUCAUUUCCUGGGCUUUCUGGUAAGUCAUUUUAGUAUGAAGAAGAGGUUCUAGGAUCCUCCGCACCACCUCACCCUCUACCCAUCACUCUGUGCUUCCUUUGCGCAUGCCUCACAUGGGCUGAGGGUCUGGACAACCCAGGCCAGGACUCAUGAAACCUCAUCUACAAAAGGCUAAAGAAUAAAGCUGUGGGGCCUGGAGUUCCCACUGAAGCUGCCCAUUCGUGUUCUUGUAGUGUAAGGAAUGCUGUAGCUAAUACCUAACACACAGAUGAGCUUGCCAUCCAAUAGAUCUCCUUCCUUCUUUAUAAAGGGACAGGACUUGGUCAUGGACACUUCUUGACCUCAUCAGAGCCCAGAGUAAGCCUACAUCCGAGCAUUAUGUUCCCAAUUUCCACUUGCACAGACCAAAGUUUCUUGGCCCCUCUCCUCUAGGCUCCUAAGGGAUUGUAUGGGUCCUGUGACCCAGAAUCCAGCCUUGAACUUGUGAACAGAGAAGGACACACAAGUUAUGUAGCUGCCAGUUAGGUUGGAACUCUCAGAUCCCUGUCCAAAAUUAGAGAAUUUGGAAAAUAAGUCUUGGUUGAUACAAUAUACGAGGCACAUGCAUAUGUGCCUGCACACAUACAGGAAUUAUGAAGGAAACAUUUGUGCGUCUUUAUUCUUAGAGACUGCAGGAAUGAAUUCAGCAGAGAACACAGUGGGAGUUCGACCCAGUUUAGCAGAAAGUCUGUCUGAACUGAAACUGCAGAUAGCACUCCCAGUUCUUGUUCUCAUGAUGCCACUGCCCGUGUACGGAACCAUACGUCAGAGGGGCAAAAUCAGAAAUGGGAGGUGGGGUACGGCAGCUCAAUAUCAUGGGCCUUCCAUGGGACAGGGACUGGGAUUUGUGGGAGAUUUGCACGGAAGCCAUGAAGGGUGAUGAAUAGGGUGAAAGAGGAAGAAGGGGCAAGAGAAGGUAGCCCCUGCGUGUUCUUGAAGGAUCAGUGUGGGCCUGCCUAUUGCCCUAUUAGUGACACCUUGCCUGAGAAGAACCGGAUGGGCCCUCUGUCCACCUGCCUCUUCUAUCUGUUCACACUGCACAGGAAGGGGCUGGGGACCAGCACACUGCUUUCUACUGCUGGUUUUAUGAUUCUAACUGGGUUGCUGUCGGUGACAAACUGCAAUGCCAAACGUGUUCCUUACCCCUUGCCCAAGUCACAGACAUCGACUCUUCCUCCAAAGCAACAAGGUAAGGGGUUACUACAUGGCUUCUUUUCCCUGCGUUUUGUUUGGCCUGCAAGGCACAGAAUUCUCCUUUUAGUCUAAAAUCUGCCACUCCAUCAUGCAAUGUCCCAUGAAGUCACACCUUGCCUUUCUUGGCUUUAGGCCCCAGGUAUGAUAACAGUUGACAACCCACUUUGGUUCUAAAAGCCAGGGAAUGCUUUGCCUUACUAAUUCUGUGCAUCAAGAGAACUGCAUUGAAAAGAUGAAAUAAACCAGGGAUAUUUGACAUUACUGUUCACAGACUAAACAGAGGAAGAAUUUUCCUCUCUUACAGUGAAUGAAGGGGUUCCGGAAGACUGUACCAUUGGACUAUGGUCUAUGACUACCUACGCAUACCUCUCCCCUUACAGGUACUGUUAUGGUCUGAAUAGCAGAGGUUCAUAAGCUCAGAUGCUUGAAACUCGGUCCCUGUCUAUUGGCCUCAUGGUGGGCAGUCGUAGAUCCUUUAGAAGGUGAGGCCUCAGUGAAGGAAGUAGGCUAGUUUAACAUUUAACAAGUUUAAAACAGUUCUGAUUUAAAGGUAAGAAAGCUGGGACUCAGACUGGCUCCCAGUUGCAUGGCUCAGAGAGUUUCAAGCUCGGCACCUGCCUUCAGUUUUCCUGCUUCCCAGGAGACUCAGAGGAGAAAGAACAAACGGGCACACAUCCUCCCUCCAUGGCGCCGCCUACCACCAGGCUUCCCUACCACGAGCCGAAAUAAGUCUUUCUUCUAUGACCUAGUUUGUUGUCAGAUAUUGGCCAUAAGAACUAUGAAUAAUACGGGCAUCUAAUUUCUUUCCUUAAUAAAAGAACAUUGAUCAGAGAAGAUAUCUGCUAUACACACAGCCGACAUACUGCCAACUCACUAAAUGGAGUCAAGUCAAGCGCCUGAUGGCCAAAGGUCAUCUGUGAGUUUAGGUGCAAGAAGGGAAGCAUAAAACCCCUGGGAAUAAAUGUUGUCCACCCUCAAGGUACCCAGAAUCAGAUAUGUUCAGAGGAUCAGAGAAGGCAAAGAGGCCCUGGAUAAGAACACAUCAACUAUACACCAGACAUCCAGCUAGUUUUCCAUGAAUGUGUGAGUGUGAACAUGUGUACUUGCAUGUGGGUGUGUGUGCAUGUACUGGUGUCCAUAUUUAUGUGCGUGUGUGCGAGUGUGUGCGAGUGUGUGUGUGUGUGUGUGUGUGUGUGUGUAUGCACGUGCAUACAUGUCACAAGAGUCACUGAUCCCCCUAUAUCUAGCCUCCAGCCCAGCACUUGGGUUACAAGUUUAAGUGUGACCUCAUCAAGCCAUUCGUGUGGGUGCUGCGUUACAGCCCAGGACCUCAUGUGCACAGUGGGUGUUCUUACCACUCCCUCACCUCUCCAGCUCCUACUUCAUAAAGUGUAGGCAUUUGUUGCUACAAAUGUCCCCUCUAGACUGCUUUGGCUGUCUCCAUGCAUUCUGAUGAAUGGUUUUUAUUUGUCUUAAAUAAAAGGGUCUCAACAACUGUCCUUUUAAACAUGAUUGUUGACUCAUUGAUUGAAUUGGUUUAUACUUGUUUUAACCUUUAACUUUUAAACAUCUUUGACUUGAAGAUGAGAAAAAUUGGAAAUAAAAAUGAUAAUUUGCUCAGGUUCCAGGGCUGGUAAUUAUGGAGCCUUUAUCUCCUCUCUUUUUGUAAACAAAGUACUGCCAAGUCCCAGGGGAUGGUGCAAGCUUAGAGCUCAGCCAGAGGCAAGGUACCUGCCUUUAAGGGAGUCUGUAGGGAGUAGAAGACUGAAGGAUGGGCUGCAUCAAAUCUAGAAACAGGGUCAGAAGAGUGUAAAGGGAACUCAGCCCACUGAGGCAGCAUCAAAGAGUCUGUGCUUGCCUAAAAUUCUAAAUGACAACAUUUCAGCUUAUGUCAAGAGUGAGGGGGUGUGGAGGGUAUUCAGAGACUGCCUUAGCUCAUAUGCCCAUGCCCUUCUCAGCCAGCUAAAGUCAUGGCCUGCAAAGCCCUUGUGUGUAUUCCUCAGAGUGGAGGCAUGAGUGGUCAUUAGCAGUCACAAUGCAGGGUGACCAACUCCACCCGAGGAAAUUAAGCUUGGAAGUUGUUUGGAGGCAGUGUGGAGGGUAUCAGCAGCUCAUCUGGUGGCCCACAGCAAUUUAUGAAAAUCCUAAUUGGCUACAAAAAGAACAUCUCCAGUUACAGGAACACUGCACUCCAGCUGGCAGCAGGGAGUCCCUUGCUGUCCUGUCCUUCAAAGGAAGAAACAAGAAGAGGGCUGUCUGCCCUGAACAACUCACAAACAGGAAGUGGUCCUUCCAGGCCACUCCCCUCUAUGCUCACCUCCCCUCAAGAUUUGUGAGCAUCCACAUGCUGGGUUAGUGUUCCCCAAAACUCAAUGGCUGGAUUGCAGUAGAGUUUUUUUUACCAACACAGAAUAUAGCUGUGCUCCCCUCAAUUCAUGUGCAGUAUGGAUGAACAUUAACAAUGACCACAAAGAUGCCAAACAAAAGUCUGGGAGUUCAGAGCACCCACCCAGCUGGAAAUUGAGCUUCCAUCCCGUGCAUGAGCAGCAUUAGCCACCGAGCAGUCUCUCCAGUUUGGGCAGGAGGUUUUAAAGGAAAUAGAUCAUGAUGGGACAAAUAAACAUGGCUGAGUUUUUACAUCUAUAAAAAUCUUCACAAGGUGUUGGCCAGGGCAUCACUGGUUGGGAAAUGAUUAAAAAGACUGAAUCUCAGGCCUUCUCAAAUGAAAUCUUUGCUUUAAAAGAGACUUCAGAAUGAUCCAUUUUCAAUGAAGUCUGAGCCUCAUUUUCUUACACUACAAGGGCAUAGGCAAGACCUCUACAUAUGACGUACUUGGCAUGACAUGGAUCAUCCACUAGACCCGAGUUACUAGGGGCUCAAAUAACAGCGCUCUUCUAUGUUCUGAGUACCAUUUGCUUUUAAAUACCAUAUAUUCUCGCUCCCCUAAUGCCCUUUUUCUCCUUGGUUGUGCUGAGAAGGGAAGCCAGGGUCUUGUGCAUCACAGUCAAUGUUUUCCUACUGGGCUGCACCCUAAGCCCUGCCUUCUGACUCAGCCUCAGACUUACCGUCUUCUUCCUCAGCAUCCUCAGCGCUGUGGGUCUGACCUCUCAAGAUCAUUUUCUACUGGCCUUGGUGUAUGACCUCUAGAAUAUUCCUUUGUCCCUCCAAACCCCAGAAUCAGGAUGAAAAUCACAAAGCUCAUGAGUUAUCUAAGCACUAAGAGGUGCCUGUUCAUCUCCACUUUGAAGCUAGAAACACCACUCUCCAUGGGCCUUGGAUGUCAUGCGUCCUCAGUGAACCUUAGUGCUCAAUUAUGUCAUCUUUCAGGAAUGCGCCAUGUGCCACAGAAACUUACUGGAUGCUGUGUCGGUACUGAGGCUCUGCGAACUCUGGUUUCUUCUACUCUUUUCUAAGUUCUCACUGCUUCAUAUUCCUUUAUGAAUUAUUCUCCCCACACAUUCUCAUUGAAAUCUAGUGUUUCAUAGGUAUUGGAUGAAUCUUUCAUGCACCCACUAUAUCUAAUAAGAGUGCAUGUGUAUAAUCUACACAUUUUAUAAGACAUUCAUAGGUGGAUUAUUAUAGAUAUGUUUCCAAUUUAAAUUUACAUAUUUUACAUUUAUACAUAGUUGGGCACCUGUGAGUAUCUUGAAGAAAAUAAGACAAUUACACCCAUGUCUUGGAUCAACAGGGGUGUUCUCGCAUAAGCGUCCAGUAUCGGUACUGACAGGACCAAGAGCACUUGUGAGCUUUCUGACUUAGGAACUAAAGACCCUGGGGUGCACCCUGCUGUCCCAAAGGGGACAUAGAGAGAUAAGAGAAGGAAAGAAAGGUCUUACUGGGGUUUUGUGCAUCUCUAGACAUAGAGAUGUCCAUUUUCCUAGGGAGGUGACUAGUAGAUUUUACAUCAUCCUCUUAUAACCAAACACUUCAUUCAGAGGUUAUAUUUACACAGCCCGUUAGGAAAUUUUUUUACACUUUUGACACUCAUUAGACUCAUAAUCGUCCACUGGAGCUACUCUAUAACAAGAGAUAAACACUCCAUUCUAAAGGAUGAAUAAUAAUUAGGUACUGCUUGGCACUGUGCUCUUUGCGGGUCUAAUUUUAGAGCAUAAUUAAUCCUGCUGAAACUGCAUAAGAUAAGUGAAAUAUUUAUGCAGCUGUGCUAAUUCAUGUAUUUACUCCUAGAGAGACAUUCAGAAUUGGACGCGGCUUUCCGGGAAGAUUAUCUUAAGAUGCCCCCUGGAGCAACGUCAUUUUCUCUCCCAUGUCAUUGCUUCCAGAUGGCCUCUGAGGAUGAACCGAAGGGACGCAUUUCCAGACUCCAGCAGUGUGCAAUGAUCCAGGACAAAAAGUAUCUAUAAGAACCCAAUGCUCUAUACAUUCAUAAGUCAGUGGGCUACUAGAAGAUGAUGGAAAUUUUAAGAUGUUAGAUCUGCUGGAAGAAGUGGGUCACUGGGGACACAGCCUUGAAGGCUGCGCAUUGUCCUAACCCCACUGUCACAUCUUGGCCAUGACAGACUCAGCAGCUUCCCUCCACCAAAAGCUUUCCUCACCAGGCACUGCUCCACCACAGGCCUGAAAGCAACGGAAUUACAGAGGGAAACCACAAGACAAAACAACCUUUUUCUCCUUUAAGUUGCUCAUCCUGGGUUUCUUUGUCAUAGCGAUGAAAAGCUGACUCACACAAGAGCUCAGUUAUGUAAGGCUACCGGCAAGGGUUCUGAGUGUAGCCUACCUUUGGGGUCACACAAUUCUGCAUUCUAAAGUACAAGAGGAACAGCCUGGAUAUUUUAAGGAAUCUAUCGGCAUCCUUCAUCCUGAGCCUUACCUUGUCAACUACAAGGUCUU